rnacentral:rRNA from 1 species
CUACGUGCCAGCAGCCGCGGUAAUACGUAGGGUGCGAGCGUUAAUCGGAAUUACUGGGCGUAAAGCGGGCGCAGACGGUUACUUAAGCAGGAUGUGAAAUCCCCGGGCUCAACCUGGGAACUGCGUUCUGAACUGGGUGACUAGAGUGUGUCAGAGGGAGGUAGAAUUCCACGUGUAGCGGUGAAAUGCGUAGAGAUGUGGAGGAAUACCGAAGGCGAAGGCAGCCCCUUGGGAAUGUACUGACGCUCAUGUGCGAAAGCGUGGGGAGCAAACAGGAUUAGAUACCCUGGUAGUCCACGCUGUAAACGAUGUCGAUUUGGGGGUUGGGCUUUAAGCUUGGCGCCCGUAGCUAACGUGAUAAAUCGACCGCCUGGGGAGUACGGCCGCAAGGUUAAAACUCAAAUGAAUUGACGGGGGCCCGCACAAGCGGUGGAGCAUGUGGUUUAAUUCGAUGCAACGCGAAGAACCUUACCUACUCUUGACAUCCAGA